AACGAACGCUGGCGGCAUGCCUAACACAUGCAAGUCGAACGAGACCUUCGGGCCUAGUGGCGCAGGGGUGCGGAACGCGGGGUAAUCUGCCCUUGAGUUCGGUAUAACAGUUUGAAACGACUGCUAAUACCGGUUGAUGACGUAACUCCAAAGAUCUAUGGCUCAAGGAUGAGCCCGCGUAGGAUUAGCCAGUUGGUGAGGUAAUGGCUCACCAAGGAGAGGAUGCUUAGCUGGUCUGAGAGGAUGAUAAGCCAGACUGGGGCUGAGACCCGGACCAGCCUGCGACGGGAGGGAGGAGUAGAGAAUAUUGGAGGAGGGGGGAAAGUGUGACAAAGCCGUGCGGGGGAAGUGAUGCAGGGCUUAGGGUUCUAAAGCUCUUUUAGACGAGGCGUUAAUGACGGUACCGGGAGAAUAAGCACCGGCUAACUACGUG
rnacentral:rRNA from 1 species